GACGUAGGGGCGAGCGUUGUCCGGAAUUACUGGGCGUAAAGAGCACGUAGGCGGGAACUUAAGUCAGGUGUGAAAGACCGUGGCUCAACCACGGGGUGGCAUUUGAAACUGGGUUUCUUGAGGGCAGGAGAGGAAAGCAGAAUUCCUGGUGUAGCGGUGAAAUGCGUAGAAAUCAGGAGGAAUACCAGUGGCGAAGGCGGUUUUCUGGACUGACCCUGACGCUGAGGUGCGAAAGCGUGGGUAGCAAACAGGAUUAGAUACCCUGGUAGUCCCUGAGCGGG
rnacentral:rRNA from 1 species